CACAAUUUAUAUAAACUCACAUACAUUCGGCAAACAUAUUCCGGGGUGCCUGUUACCUGCUUAAAGGUGACUAUAGGUUGGAAAUAUGGAAUGUAUGAACGCUUAAC
rnacentral:sRNA from 1 species